AACAGAAGAGUCUGUCUUCGGGAGAACACUGAAAAUGGCUACUUCAGAAUGUAUAAUGGCUAGUCUUUUGAUUUUCACCUCAGUGGCACAAGUCUCUGCAGGUGACAUAUUUGGCAUCAGAGGUGGGUCUAUUAGCCUUUCACCAGAGCAAGUAACAAAAGACAAAACAGUAAUGUCCAUUAUCUGGAAACAUAACAAGGAUAAAGUUGCUGAAUGGUUGAAAGGAGAUGAAGGUAUAACAGUUUUUCGCAUCUUCAACUGCUCGGCUACAGUGGACAACCAAACCUGGGUGUUGACCAUUUCAAACCUGCAGCCACAUUUCAAUGGGACUUACUCAGUGGAGAUAAACGACAAGGAGAACGACUUGAGAAUGCAACUUACUGUUCUUGAUCCGGUUAAGGAGCCUAACAUCACUACAGACUGCAACUCUACCAGCUGCACCCUGACCUGUGAGGGAGAGGACAGCAGUGAGCACACACAGUUCUCCUGGACAGAUAGGAAGGGGAACAGGAAUAGUGGAAACAUGUGGACUGUGGAGAAGAGGUCUGAGGUCUACAUCUGUAACUUCAGUAAUCCAGUGAGCUGGGCGAUCAGAAGCUUCUCUCUGACAGAUGACUUUCCUUUAGGAAUAAUUGCUGGAAUUGUAGUUGCCAUUGUUGGUGGAAUUGCUGUUAUCUUAAUUGUGUUAAGAAUCCAUCGCUGUAGGAAAAAUAGAACUGGAAUGUACACUCCAGCAACUGCAGAUCUAUCAAGGAAAGUUGCAGACCCAUCAAGCAUCAUGAAUGGGCAUGUUGUUGUGAAUGUACAGAAUGGUAGUGCGCCACAGGAAACACCUAACCUGACUGAGGUUGGAUCAGAUGGUCCUUGAGCAGAUCAGAUCAGAUCCUUGAGUAUGUUUCCAAUGCAGAGAAUGGUAAUGCACCUCAUGAAGUAUCAAUCGAACUGGAUGGUAUGACCUCUGCUGUGUGAGAAACCCCUCUUGCAAUCUUGCUUAGUGGAACUGCUGGUACUUACUGCUGACAAGACAUAUCUACCAGAUAAAAAAAAAAGUUUGUGUGUCUACAGUAUGUGCGAAUCAAUUAUCAAAGAGCCAAAGCUUGACACCUCAAAGAGGAAGGAAGUAGAGAUUGGGCAACCCCCCAUCUAUGACUAAAGAUGUCUUCGAAGAGAACUCUAUCACAAGGUCUUCUGGGUACUUUCCAAAGUCCAUGUUGCUGUAUUCAACGCUCCUCCAACAUUCAGCAUGAGCAACUUGAAAAUCUUAAAGGAUUGUAUUUAUUGACCUGAGAUGGCAGCUUGUUAGAAUUGUUUUUAUAUACCUAAUAUGAAAGUGUACAGUUGACUGUAUCGCAGCAGUGGAAAAUCAGUAUUUUUGCAGAUGCCAUCAUCCAGAGAGUUCAAGUUAUUUUUUGUGUUAACUGUCAGUCACAAAAUCAUAAUAGAUGCAAUUUCCCUUAACUAGUACCAACUGAAGACUGUUUCACUAUCUACAGCUGCUCUUCAUGCUUAAUCUAACAUCUAAUCUAAUCUAACUAUGAUCAAAUGGCUGUCAGCUUGUGAAGACCUGACAAGAGACACAUGGAGUGUUCAUUUGUGACUACUGGAAAAGACUUUCAUCCACUUUACCUCACUGUCCAAAAACAUUCUCUGCUGCUUAUUUGUUAGAGACAUUGUCCAUUUGAUACAGACAUUGUUGUUGAACCAUCUCCUCACAGUUGAGACAGUACAGUAGUUACAGACUGUUGUUUGUCAUUGAAAAUAGAUCCACAUUUCAUCUCAAAUACAUGACAUUUCACGUUCAUGACCCUGACUUUACAGAGCAGCGUUUGAGGUCCCAUUUCUAGUUUUUGAUAAACUUUUUACUGAUUUUAAAAACAUAAAGUGGGUGGGGUGAAGGCAAGAUGGUUACAAUCAAAGUUUUUUCUUGACUAAGACAUUAUGACAUAAGACAAAUGAUCAGUCCAUAGAGCUGGGUAUAGUAGAGCAUUGAUAUAUCAAAUACCUAGACUUAGAAGUCUAGGCUGUGGGGCAAGUUAGGUCAGUAAUAUGUAAAUGUAAUGCUUUGAACAGGUGUUUGCACUUUAAUGGGGGUGGCAGCGGGGGAGGCUGGGCUGUUACUGUGGGUGAACUCAUGAACUGUAGGCAACACUGUGGUUGAGUGUGUGGGUCAGGGUGGAUCCAGUGUUCACAACUUUAGAGGGUGUAACAGGUUCUGUCGGAAGCUGUGACCCACCUGGUGAUCCGAUCCACCCCAUGCCGUUUUGAUGAUGCUCUAUAGCCUUGCUCUUUUCAGAGCCAUGGAGUGAUGGCUACGUGAUGGAUUUAGUGGGGCAACUGUCGACACCAAAGAAUGCGAAGCUCUGAACCGUCUCUUAUCGUUGUUUAUGAGAUGGUGGUUGUUGUGUUUUCGUCUCCUGAUUAUUAUUUAUUUUCUUUCCAUUGGGUUAAGAAAGAGUUUGGGUUAAGAAAGAGUUUUUUACUAUUAUAAGGCUUUUGUGCAAAAAGAGACUGGGAUGACUAAAUGGCCUACGUCACUUUAUCCACUGGGAUGCACUUGUCCAUGAAAAUAAUAAAGUUUUUUACUCUA